CUGCUGCCUUCCGUAGGAGUUUGGGCCGUGUCUUAGUCCCAAUGUGGCCGUUCACCCUCUCAGGCCGGCUACUGAUCGUUGCCUUGGUAGGCCAUUACCCCACCAACUAGCUAAUCAGACGCGGAACCAUCGUAUACCACCAGAGUUUUUCACACCGCUUCAUGCGAAGCUGUGCGCUUAUGCGGUAUUAGCACCUAUUUCUAAGUGUUAUCCCCCAGUAUACGGCAGGUUUUCCACGCGUUACUCACCCGUCCGCCACUAA
rnacentral:rRNA from 1 species